UGUAAGCGUAUACCAAAGUUGUUGCAGUUAAAACGCUCGUAGUCGGAAUUUGGCAGUUCCGGAUGUGUGCACGUCGUGUGCGCACUUCUCGGGGAUUGCUUUUGUGGUCUUGCGUAGGAUGAGGCACUUUUAUUAGUGAACGUCCUCACGCAACCACUUUUUACUGUGAGAAAAUCAGAGUGCUCAAAGCAGGCAUUUGCCGUGAAUGUAUUAGCAUGGAAUAAUAGAAUAGGACUUGGUUCUAUUUUGUUGGUUUGUUGGGACUGAGUAAUGAUUAAGAGGGACAGUUGGGGGCAUUUGUAUUUCGGUGCUAGAGGUGAAAUUCUUAGAUUACCGAAAGACAAACUGCUGCGAAAGCGUCUGCCAAGGAUGUUUUCAUUGA
rnacentral:rRNA from 1 species